AUGAACGCUGGCGGCGUGCCUAAUCCCUGCCAGUCGAGCGAACGGACGAGAAGCUUGCUUCUCUGAUGUUAGCGGCGGACGGGUGAGUAACACGUGGAUAACCUACCUAUAAGACUGGGAUAACUUCGGGAAACCGGAGCUAAUACCGGAUAAUAUUUUGAACCGCAUGGUUCAAAAGUGAAAGACGGUCUUGCUGUCACUUAUAGAUGGAUCCGCGCUGCAUUAGCUAGUUGGUAAGGUAACGGCUUACCAAGGCAACGAUGCAUAGCCGACCUGAGAGGGUGAUCGGCCACACUGGAACUGAGACACGGUCCAGACUCCUACGGGAGGCAGCAGUAGGGAAUCUUCCGCAAUGGGCGAAAGCCUGACGGAGCAACGCCGCGUGAGUGAUGAAGGUCUUCGGAUCGUAAAACUCUGUUAUUAGGGAAGAACAUACGUGUAAGUAACUGUGCACAUCUUGACGGUACCUAAUCAGAAAGCCACGGCUAACUACGUG
rnacentral:rRNA from 1 species